CCCAGCCCUGAGACCAGUUCAGAGAGAAGACGACAAGGGAAGGUAUGCAGCCCUGGGGAAGACGGCUGUGCCGUGAGGCUAAGGAGACAACAGCAGCCCAGCCGGCGCCUGCCGCUGGGCUGGGUGAGCUGACACCAACCGAUGAGAACGGAUGUGAAUGGCCGCGGUGACUGGGCAGUAGGCUUUCUGAACUCUGCUGGUGGACUCGCAACCGGAAAAACGGACUGUCUCGGUCUUGCCCGGAGCGUUUUUGUCACUCUGACAAUGAGAAGCUGCCUUGAUCUCCGUCCGACCCAGGUGCGGAGCUUUAGAAGAGGUUUCGGGGACACAACGGUUCACAUCUAUCUUAGCCUUUAGUUCCAAGAAAAAACGGCCUGGAAUCCAAUUCCCAGUCCGGACCUGAGGAUGCACUCUGCGCCUUCAGCCCACUCCCACCCCUGUGGGUGCUGGGGGCCUAUCCUGGUGCCUCCACAGGCUGACGACCCCCUUCUUAGUCCCCCACCCAGACCCCUGCCUCUCCCAUUACUGUCCCCUCCUCCAUCUUUCCCGUCUCGGCCUCCUGCCCACCAAUAACCUUCCCCCACCCGCCACCGCCCACCAAAGCUCCGCACUCCUUUCCAGCUGGGCCCCCCUCCUCCUCCGCGCCUCGCAACGGAACCCCAGUGCCGGAGGAGCGGAGCCAGGCCGGACGGGCGGCGCGUGAGUGGUCCUCCCGGAAGUGCGCCGCCCGCGGGGUCCUCCAGCUCCACAGCGCGGGGCCGCUGCGAACCUACCUUCCCC